rnacentral:tRNA from 1 species
GUUUAUGUAGCUUAAUUAAAGUAUGGCACUGAAAAUGCCAAGAUAGAUUUUAAAAAAAUCUCAGAAACA